GUCAGGUGUCGCUGCUGGCAUGUUGGGCUGCGCGGCGGAGGGAGGCGGGAGUCAACAGUAGCCUUCCUUGAAGAACUGCCUCUUCCAUUUGCUGCCUGGAGUUCACGUUGUUUCCUGCUGGCAGAAUCAGGGACAUGCCAGCACCAGCGGGAUGAGUGGGUGUUCCAGUGGGGAUGUGGUCGCUGACGGCCAGUGAGGACAAGAGCACCACGGCCCACUUCUUCCUCGGAGCUGGAGAUGAGGGGCUGGGCACCCGUGGAAUAGGCAUGAGGACAGAAGAGAGUGACAGUGAGCUACUUGAGGAUGAGGAAGAU